GCUCGGACGUCCUUUUGCUGCCUUCCUUCCUGGAGAGAGGACGAUCAGGAGGGAGCGGGCUCCAGAUAGAGAGAUGUCUACCUAAUCUAAUCUAAUCUAUAUCCAUCCAUCCGUUCUCUGCCUUGGAGUGUGGUGGAGGCUGCUUCUUUGGAAGCUUUUAAACAGAGGCUGGAUGGCCAUCUCUCUGGGGUGCCUUGAAUGCAGUUUUUCUGCUUCUUUUCAGGGGGUUGGACUGGAUGGCCCAUGAGGUCUCUUCCAACUCUAUAAUUCUAUCCAUCCACCUAUCUAACCAUCGAUCUAUCAAUCUCUUAUAUAGAUAGGAUGCCUGAGCUCGGUAACAUGAGAUGAAGUAAUUUUUCCAUGAACAAGACACCUCGAACGUGGGAAUCCCAAACAUCUUUAGGGAUCGAGAAACUCUAAAUACAAGGUAACUCAAUGGACUUGUCUAUUCAGCAACUGGUUUGAUGAAUACUGUACUUGGGGCUAACAGGAUUCCAGUUAUUAGGUCACUGUUUUUUAAUUGCACUAUAAAUAAGAUAUGUGCAGUGUCAUUAGGAAUUGUUUUUUUCAAACUAUUGUCCAUCCGCCCAACAGUAUAAGGCCUGGUGUGUGUGUGUGUUUCUGGUUUCAUGCCCCCCCCCCCCAAACUUUCAUGAUUUUUUUUUUGAAAAAGCCCUGGUUUACUCAUGAAUUUUAACUAGUUAACCAAAUCCUCAUGCUAAAUCUAUGAUAAUGUAAUCCACCGAAACUGAUAUCCAAUCGGACUUCCCUAUUAAGCUCUAUAAGAAAAAGUUAAAUUUUAAUACAACUUACAAUGUUUCCAGGUAUAUAACAUUAUUUGUUUGUAUAUCUAAUUUAAUUUAUUUAUUUAAAUAAAUAGUUUUAAUUUAUUUCUAAUUUAUUUUUAUCAAAAGUAUUUUCAAAAUAACAUUAAAAGGAAAUAAGGGAAGGUGCAAGGGAGAACUAGGUAAGGGAAAGAUCAAGGAUUAAUUUAUUGUUGCAUUUUCACUAUGUAUAUUUGAAUUUAAGUUGUACUCUGUUAAAUAUUGUUAGUUGCUAUUUUAUGUUAUUUGGUAUUGCUCAUUGUUGUGGGCAGACCUUUAUAUAUGUAUAUGUGUCUGUAUUGAACUUUGGUUGCCAUGUAAGCCUCCCCAAGUCCCUUUUGGGAGAUGGUGGCAAGAUAUAAAUAACGAUAUUAUUAUUAUUAUAA